AUGAAACCCCGACGUAAGCGAAAGAAAAUGGAUAUUGUUGAUUGUCCUUCUCGCGAUCCCUCACUUCACGAGCUCGGGGAAGAUGCUGCCCUCGUCUCUACAAGUGAAGAUGUGAGGCCUUUCACUAAAAGGAAGGUGGAUACUCUAAACGAAGAGGAUGAUUCUAGUCCCAUUAGAUUGGAUGGACCUAUCCACAUAUCUGACCUUGGUAGUGUGGAUCUCGAUGGCAUACUUAGUGGAGAGGUUGAUCAUGGUCUAGGUGAUCUAGAUAAUUUAAAUGUGGAUGAUUAUGGUGUAUAA
rnacentral:rRNA from 1 species